ensembl:lncRNA
GAUCCCACUAACUUAUACACCAAUAUUUCUCAUCAUCACACAUCCUAGAAUUUGUCACCUCUGCUGGGUUCUUGCUUAUUUCAGGAGAAUUAUAAUUAUAACUUCUGCAGAGUUCCUGGUUAUAUUUCUAUUUUCAUGUUAUUUUAUAUGUUUAUUACCACAGAAAUAUCAACUCAAAUAAACCCAUUUUUCAUGGAGAACACUGAUUUUCCAGGAGUGGACUCAUAUAUUGUUGACAUGUUCCUGCCACAUUAAAUAACGUUACACAUGUUGGAGGUGAAGAUAAAAUUCAACAUCAUCUUUUUUCUUUAGUCACAAGCUUUGAAGAAGCUCUCAGAAAUGUGGAAGUCUAAAAAAAGCCCAAGAGAAGUAGAAGAAGCAGAGUUUCUUUUUUUUUUUUUUUUUUUUUAUUGCGCAUCAACAACAUGGAACAGGUCACUAUGCACAUUUUUUAUAUUUAAGCCCCCCAUCCCCCACAUAAUAAUUAAAGGGAAAACUCAAAGAGUAGAAAGAGGGGGGAAAGAAAAGAUUAAUUCAGGUAGACAAGUUAUGAUCCUGUGUCAAACCCGGCAAAAUUCAGGCUUCAACUCGGUGUUCCAGGUGAGGCUAAUUGGCCAUUGCCCUACUUAAGGCCACAGAUGCGGCGUGCUUGGGUUCUCUCGCUUCCCUGCCACAGCUGCUCCCGUGUUUACCCGCCUGACUGUUGAUCCGUGGCUCCCCACUUGCCUGCUGGCAGAGCUUCCUCGGCCUUGUUUGGUGUUAGGGUUUAGUGGUUUUGGGUUAGGGUUAGAAGGUCGGCUCCCUAUCCGACGGUCCCUCUUUGGGCUGGUAGAGGUGGCCGCCCUUUCUAUUGUCCCUGUUUUGUUCUCUGCCAGAUGGGAUUUUUGGUUGUUUGUGUACUAUAUUGUUGAGGGACUCUACUCCAUAAAGUUCCCCUUGAAAGUCUACCCGCUCUGUUGUUUGGUUUAUGUGCGUCCCUUUACCUUUCGGGUUACAAACAAGGUAGGGUCGUAACAGUAAGUAAAGGUGUGAAAUGGGGUGUGAGACGUUUAAACCAUUUCACCCCUUCCAUCAGGUGUCACAAUACACAAAAUGUAUGUUUUUAUUGAUUUAUUUACCUGCAGCCGUUCAUUUCAUAUUAACAUAUACAUGAGACAUGAACCUGAUUCAUCUUCUUGUUCCAGAUCAGGGCUCUUGGCUGUUUCUACCUCAGUCUCACAGUAUAACAAACACUUGCCAUAGAAUCUCCUAUUUGAUGAUCAGACCAUGUUUUCCCAUAUAGGAAUAUUUGAUCCUGAAAAUGUUCUUCCCACAUUUUCAUUACGAUCAGCACAUUAUUGAAGGCAUCGCCUGUCUGGAGAACUGUGGCCCUCUGCUUCUGGAAGGUGUCUGGCGCCUUCUAGAGGACAAUUGGUAUCGCUGUAAAGGAGAAAGGUCCCACAUGUUUGGCCCAACAAAAUUCUUCUAGUUCCACCUGACAGUUUUCAUCACAGAAAUCCAAGUUUUAAAAGCAGUUUUGCUUUUUCUCUCAAUUUCUUCGGGCAUGAGGUGUUACGAGCGGUUGUAUCAGGACCCGAAAGCAGGCAGGACACAGUGGCGUUUCGUCUUCCGAGAAGCUUUAUUUAAGUUCACAGAAAGUUAUGCAACUCAAAAGGCGUGGAGACCACGACUCAGUUCUUAAUCCAAACAGGAAAUGAAAACUUACGACAAAAAAUCCCGAGCGGGGUCAAAAGUAGUAAUGUUCCCUCUGACACGGGGCUUCGAACCACGCCCCAAAACUCGGUAGAGUUUUUUUCUGAAGCACUGCUCGGGAGCUCGCUUCAAAUCACGUGACUGAUGACGUUUGAACCACUUCACUGCUUCAUUCGGCCUGAAUCAGCUGACUGGUUCGGUUCAAUGGGCGGGUCUCAGUUGUGUUUAAAAAUGGAUGAAACAGCGCAAUACGUUGCCGAUCUGGUCAAUACCUUUUUGGAUUGAUUUGAUUAGCGUUCGUAUUGCUUUCGGUUUGCUUUCUUAUUGCUUUGCAAUGGAACCAACCAGGAAGAGAUCUCAAGUCUGGGACCACUUUGAAAUGGUGCCGCCGAACAAGGUAGGUGUUACAAACGUAUUUUUCAACUCUUAUUCACACAGUUACAAAUAAUAAACCACACACACAUCACAUUUUUAAUUUGCAGGUGAAGUGUUUGCUUUGUUCCCGACAUCUGGCGUAUAAUAAUAACACGUCAUCAAUGAUGAGGCAUUACCGAGCCAAACAUGAGAAUGAAGCUGGUGGUGCUGCUGUGAUGACGUUUCCACCAGGUGAGUGGGUGCUGUUCCAGGCAAUAUUAAGAGUAACUUUUAAACUUUACUGCGCAGGUUUGGGUGUAUAUAAUUAGUUAAUUAACUAAAUUAAUCUUGUUCUGCUAACGUCCAUAUUUUAUGUAGCAGGAAGCAGGAGUUUGAUGACGCUCUAGUGGAUUUCAUAGUGAAAGAUUCCCAGCCUUUCACUGUGGUGUCUGAUCCUGUCUUCCGUGCUCUGGUGGCUAAACUGGAUCCCACAUACACCCUUCCAUCAAGGCAGGGAGUUAAAGCCAUGGUGGAGAGGAGGUAUGUGGAAGAAAAGGAGAAGGCCAAGGCAGCCCUGCAGAAUGUUGACAGUGUCAGCUUGACCGCAGAUAUGUGGACCUCCAUCAACAUGGAUGCGUAUCUCGCUGUCAC